rnacentral:rRNA from 1 species
GAACGUCGUGAGACAGUUCGGUCCCUAUCUGGUGUGGGCGUUGGAUGAUUGAUGGGAGCUGCUCCUAGUACGAGAGGACCGGAGUGGACGCACCUCUGGUGUAUCGGUUGUCACGCCAGUGGCAUUGCCGAGUAGCUAAGUGCGGAAGAGAUAACCGCUGAAAGCAUCUAAGCGGGAAACUCGUCUCAAGAUGAGUCUUGCCGGGGCCUUGAGCCCCCUGAAGGGUCGUUCGAGACCAGGACGUUGAUAGGCUG